GAGACAAGGAGUCACUCUGUCACCCAGGCUGGAGUACAGUAGAAUGAUCAUAGCUCACUUGAAUUCCUGAACUCAAGUGAUCCUCCUGCUGCAGCCUUCCAAGUAUCUAGGACUACAGGCUAUGGGAAUAUAAAGAUAAAUAUCACACAUAUGAAUCCUCUUCUCGUGGAGCCUGAAACCCAGAAGAAGAGACAAGCAAGGAAAAAGAAAAUCACUUCGAUGAAGUAAUUGUAAUUGUUUUAAAAACCAAGAAGGAAACAAACAAGUUCUAAAAUAAAUGAUAACAGCACCUAGGGCCAACAGCCAAGUCAGGAAGGCUGGCUGGGCUCUCCUGGAGGCCACCAAAAUGAGUGUGUCACUGUGCAGAGAUUGAAGAGGACAGUUAGAUCCUCCUGCAGCAGAACUGUGAUUCUAGCAACUCAGAAGGUCUCCAGCUGAGGGCAACUGGGGACACUCCAUGACACUGACCUGGAUCAACCAUCGUAGGUCUGAAAGGAAAACAGUAAGACGGAAUUGAAAAGCAAGUCCUAGUUAACCCCAGGACCAGCCUAGCAGAAGCAGAAGAGAGAAAACUGAGAGCUACUGAAUGUUCACUUCAUCAAUUAAAAGUACAGUUUAUUUGAUAAUUGCAUACUUUGUUAUUAAAUUAUAGAACUUAAAGUGGCUUAGUAUUUAUUUCAAAAUUCAGGUUGUCAUUUUGUGGUACGUUACUAUGUGAGGUUGCCUAGUCCAUUGACUACGUUAGCCUAUUUCUACAACUUUGGAUUCCUAAAAUAUUCUGCAAGAGAAGACAGUUGAAAACAAAAAGUAUCAUUAAUAAGUUAAAUUAAUGUAAAACAAAAUUUGUUCCCAGCAACUUCAACACCAGACCAUUAUCCCUUUACUUUAUCAAAUUCAUUGGCUGUACAAGCUUGACUUACUUACACUGGAUGAAUAAAUGGGGGAUCUUUUCAUAGGAUUCUUUAAAAUAAUAUCACACUUUCCUUCUUCCACUUAUGUCUUUCAAGAGGUCCAAAGGGUACAAAUGAGUCAAUCAUUUUUACUCCGAAUUAGACAACUCAUAAUUUUCUGAAUACAUGCUGAUGAGAGCAAUGUUAACAAAUUAGAAGCUGAUAAGCUGGGUAAACUACAUUUAUUUCAAAAUUUCCCCUUUUCCUCUUUAAAAAGUUUAAAGCAAUUAGAGAUUUUAAUUUCAUUUUUAAAUCUCCAUCUCUAGGCUGGGAGCAGUGGCUCACACUUGUAAUCCCAGCACUUUGGGAGGCCAAGGCAGGCAGAUCAUCCAAGGUCGGGAGUUCAAGACCAACCUGGCCAACAUGGUGAAUCCCUGUCUCUACUGAAAAUACAAAAAUUAGUCAGGCAUGAUGUUGGGUGGGGGGUGGUGCCUGUUGUCCCAGUUAUUUGGGAGGCUGAGGCAAGAGAAUUGCUUGAACUCAGAAAGUGGAGGUUGUAGUGAGCUGAGAUCGCGCCACUGCACUCCAGCCUGGGCGACAGAGCAGGACUCCGUCUCAAAAAAAAAAAAAAAAAAAAAAAAAAAACUCCAUCUCUAAACUAAAAGAUACCGAAACCUUUGUACUCUAGUUUAUUGCAAAGAGUAACCCUGAGAUUUUAGUGUGAUAGAUGUCAAAGAAGUUUUGGAAAGCAUGAUUAGCAUCUCACUGCUGAAAUCAUGGGAAAUCAAGUAGAAGCCUGUUAGAGACAAAACAGCAAUUAUUGAAUAAGCAAGAAAGUAAAGUUAGUACUGUAUACAUCUUUAAAAGUCAAGAAGGACCAACAGUAAUGUUAACGGGGCCAGGCAGAAAGUUUCCUCUCUUUCCCCUUCUUUAACCAUUGGUAUAGUUCUCUGAUGCCAUGAAAGGGCCAUGAUUAUAGGGUGAGCUUGGGAGAGGGGAAAUAGUAAAGAAUGUAGUGAGGGAUUUACAUUCUGUUAAUUAGAACUGUCAACAUUGCCUCUGUGGCCUUGAGAAAGAAGUUUCCUCUGUCUUCUGGCAUCACUGCAGAGUUUAUAAACUAAACCCAAAAAGGUUUUGAAGUCCAUGGUUUUGUAAGUGUUGUCCUGUUUCCAAUUCCUAUUUGAAUAAGGACUGCUCUCAUACUAAGGAAAAAUAUUUGUCAUAUGUGGGAGGCAAUUUGUCAUAUAGCUAAAAUCUUAUCAAAUUAGAAUCAUAAAAUAAAUUAUUAAACCAAUAGCUUAUAAAUAAAGAAUGUAAAGGGCAAAAAGAGACAGAAGAAAGAAAUAUAAAAUACAAAAAGUUCCCCAAACCCAAAACCUUAAACCAAAUUACUUUUUCUGUCAUAUGCCUGUAGAAAUGUAAGAUUUCUCCAAAUCAAGAUUACCAGAUAUUUUCGGGGGUGUCCAAUCUUUUGGCUUGCCUGGGCCCCAUUGGAAGAAGAAGCAUUAUCUUGGGCCAUGCAUAAAAUACACUAACACUAAUGAUAGCUGAUGAGCUAAAAACAAACAAAAAUCACAAAAAAAUCCCAUAGUGUUUUAAGAAAGUAUACGAAUUUGUGUCGGGCCACAUUCAAAGCCGUCCUGGUCCGCAUGCAUCCUGUGGGCCGCAGGUUGGACAAACUUGGAUUAGAGCAUCCCAAUCAUAUUGGAAUAGCAAUGUUUCCUACCUUGACAAAAUGUAAGACUGCCUUACUACUGGGGAGCCAAGCCAAAGGACUUAUAAGCUAAUACUUGAUUGGGUAUUGGAGGCUAUAUAGAAUUACCUCACCUUAGAAAACUCCACCAAAAUGCUGUCAGAUAAAUUCUGUAUGUUUCAGGGACUUGCUGGUUCCUAGUUUAAAGAGAAUUUCCAUUAUUAUCAUCAUCAUUAUUAUCAGUAGGCAUGUAUUUUAUUUAAAAAGUUCAUUUUAAUCUAUAUAUUCUAAUAUAAUUUAUGUUCAGCUCUAAUUAUUGCUAUACUUGAAAAUAUUAAAUAUAUAUAAUCUAUAGUAUCACAUUACUUAAACAACCAUUUGUAUUUCCAUACUGUAGUCAGUGUCUUGAGUUCCUUCUUUAAUUAAUAUUAGUGAUGUUUUAAAGCACAUAAUCCUUUGUCGAAUAUUAUUUGAAUAAUAGUACUCUAAGGGGAUAAAGAUAUAUUAAAUUCCUAUUGGAUUCAAAGCUGUAAUAUACCUUGUGGGCCUCUUUAGGAUAAUUAAUAAGUAAUUAUUUGACUUAAUUUACUAAAAUGUGAAUUUAAUAUAUAUAUGUCUAUUAUUAACAAGCACAAAUAAACUUGAAUAUAUUUUGCUUAAAAAUGGAUAAACUACAGUUAUUUUAGUGUUUCAUUUCUUAAAUGUCUAUGGCGUUAAAGUGUUACUCUGUGAAGUUUUUAAUCUAUGGUAAACAGUGAGUAAAUAUUGCGGCAUUGCAUAUACAGAAAAAAUUCAAAUGCAUUAAACAUGCUGGUAUGCUAUGAACCUAUUUAAGGUCUUAGAAAAGUGAAAACUUAUUUUUGUGCUGCUCAAUAGUACAUUAACAAAUUAACAUCUAGAGAAGUAUAGCAUCAAAGAGAUAAAGGACCCAAGCUAGAAAUAAGCUUUACCCAACAAACAGAAAGAAGUUUGAUCAACUGCUUUGAGGAAUAAAGCAGCUUAAUGAGCUUAUGAAGCUCAUUAAGUCAACAAGGUCAGAGCCCAAAUAAAUGACAUGAGAAAUAGGAAAUUUAAGAAAAAAAUAUUAAGAGUGAAAAGACCAUAACUGAACUCAUAAAAAAGUUAGUAACACCAAAGGACAGAGGGUUAGUAACAUAGGAACAAGGUUUGAGAUAACUAUGGGGGAUCACAAUUAUUUUUUUGAAAAGAAGAAAAAGUGAGAUAGAGAUGUAUUAAGAAAUAAAGAUGAUUAAUCUUCUUGAGGAAUAAACCUCAACAACUAAAAAUAACAAAAAAUCACUAACACAACAAUAAAACUAAGAUUUACCAGAAAAAAAGAAGAUACUAUUUGUGUUCUAGAGCACUUUGAGUUUUAGGUAACAUGCAGGUGCCCUGUAAAUCUUCAAAAAUAUGGAAAGAAUACUUCAGAUAAUGGAGCAGAGGGCAAGUCACUUACAAAGUUGGAGGUUUUAGAUUGGCAUUAGACUUCUCUGCAGUAACAUUCAAU
rnacentral:lncRNA from 1 species